rnacentral:snRNA from 1 species
GACCUUGACUAAUAUAUAAGAGAU